GUUCUUUUGUUCUAAUUUGUGAACACUUUAUCAUGGAAUUCAUUUUGAAUUUCUAGUUACACGAAACAGGCUGUUCACUUAGGAUAAAUAUCACUUUGGUUGGAAAGUCUCUUGCAUAAGGUAAGUUUUAUUCUUUCUUUAAUGAUAACAUGUUACAAAUUAAUGGAAUAGUAAUAGAAGUGUUGAAUCAGUGUUGCACAAAAUGUCAAGUUUAUUUUGGUGGCUGUUGAAAACGAGUUUAUAAAAAGACAAUCCAUAAAGAAGAUUUAACAUUCAAAUUUCAUAAUUCAGUAAUCUGCUUUGAAUUUGUUACACUACUAUAUUUUCCCUGGCGGGUCUACUGGACCCGCACGGCCAGCGUGUUUUUUUGUUGUUGGUGUAAAUUGAGUUGAAAUAACAUGCCAUAGAAAUAAAUAGAAAUAAAAAAAAACAGGUCUAUAAAGUAUUAUGUAGUAUAAACCAUAUUCAGUGCUUGACAGGAUUGUAUAGUUGAGUCUAUCAUUUUUGUUGUACUGACAACUAUUAAUUAUUAAUAAUUUCAGGUUGGGAACAACCCCUCAAAUGAGGGAUAACCUAUCAAUGUUACAGUAAUGACUAUCCCUAUUACAAGGCCGUAACUAGCCUCUUUGAAUAUUGAGGCAAAAUGUAUUUUUGGCGAGGUAUCUGGGGGCCGCUCAAGGCCCCCAGAAGCACUGAGAAAAAUAACGCAAAAUCGUGCAUUCUGAGCGCUCAGUCUGAGCGUUUCCCGGACUCUUUCUUACAUUGAAACGCAAUAUUAAUUUUUAGCUAUUCCUUUCAACAAUAUUCUUGUCUCAAGGCAAAAACAUAGAUUCAUUGUAAUUUAAGACUUUUAUGAGGGGGGGGGGGGGGGGGCAAGGGGGGUCCCAAUAACAGCAAAACAGCAAAUUGAUUUGGCUCAUAACAGAUAACAAGGAGUUAAAAUGGACAAAAACAGAUAACAGUAAAUGAAAUAUUAAAAUAAUUCGGUCUUUGACAAAUCAGUAUUUCUUAUUACGAUAUAAUCCUUUGUAAUGCAUUCCAUUUUC
rnacentral:lncRNA from 1 species